rnacentral:rRNA from 1 species
UGGGGAAUUUUGGACAAUGGGCGAAAGCCUGAUCCAGCAAUGCCGCGUGUGUGAAGAAGGCCUUCGGGUUGUAAAGCACUUUUGUCCGGAAAGAAAUCCUUGGCUCUAAUACAGUCGGGGGAUGACGGUACCGGAAGAAUAAGCACCGGCUAACUACGUGCCAGCAGCCGCGGUAAUACGUAGGGUGCAAGCGUUAAUCGGAAUUACUGGGCGUAAAGCGUGCGCAGGCGGUUUGCUAAGACCGAUGUGAAAUCCCCGGGCUCAACCUGGGAACUGCAUUGGUGACUGGCAGGCUAGAGUAUGGCAGAGGGGGGUAGAAUUCCACGUGUAGCAGUGAAAUGCGUAGAGAUGUGGAGGAAUACCGAUGGCGAAGGCAGCCCCCUGGGCCAAAUACUGACGCUCAUGCACGAAAGCGUGGGGAGCAAACAGGAUUAGAUACCCUGGUAGUCCACGCCCUAAACGAUGUCAACUAGUUGUUGGGGAUUCAUUUCCUUAGUAACGUAGCUAACGCGUGAAGUUGACCGCCUGGGGGAGUACGGUCGCAAGAUUAAAACUCAAAUGAAUUGAC